GGCUCCAUAAUGUAGUGGUUAGCACAUCUGCUUGGCACGCAGAAGGUCCUGGGUUCGUGCCCCAGGUGGAGCCA
rnacentral:tRNA from 1 species